rnacentral:lncRNA from 10 species
AGUUUGAUCUCAGACUGCUGUGCUAGCAAUCAGCGAGAUUCUGUGGGCGUAGGACCCUCCAAGCCAGGUGUGGGAUAUAGUCUCGUGGUGCACCGUUUUUUAAGCCGGUCUGAAAAGCGCAAUAUUCGGGUGGGAGUGACCCGCUUUUCCAGCAGUAGAAAACAGAUGAAUACACCUAGAUUUCUUCCUGCGUGAAUCCAGUUGAGGGGAAGGUAUAAAAUUUUCAAAUGGAGGAGUAUACCUGAACCUAAUCAUGGAUGUGAUUUUAUGGUCUCGCUUUGUCACCUAGCAGUGUAGUGGUGUAAUCACAGCUCACUGCAGCCUCGACCUCCUGGGCGCAAGGAAUCUUCCAGCCUCAGCCACCCAAGUAGCUGAGACUACAAAUACAGAUAAGCUGAUUCUAAAACUUACAAGAAUGGCAAAGAAACAAGAAGAGCUUAAACUGCAAUCAUCAACAGAGAAGCUUUCUGCAACCAAAGUGAAGACUGAAGCCUUAGGCUAUGGCAGAAGUUGGGCGCCUGAAGUACACGUGGAAAUAUGCCAACUGAACAUUGGACUACCAC